UUUAGUAAAUCGGCCAAGAUGGAAAAACGAACUGAAGCCUGUAAACAUCUUAUUCAGUCAUGAAUGAGGAUUGCCCAGACUGCGUCCUUCUUAUCUGUCAAGUUCACAAGCCCAGGCUACAAUGGCCUACCAUUACUUGUCAGUCAGUCGCAAGGGCUUCAAGAUAAAUGGGUAAAGCAACGGGUAGCUCACAUCUACAACAAAUGCAAACAGAGUUGUGACCACUGUCGAACAGUCAUGGAUGUGCCGAACACACCGUAGAGGUGCCUUGGCAGGUUAACUGGGUAUCUUCAGCUUCUGGGUCUUCUGCAUCACGACGGGCAGCUUACGGGCG
rnacentral:lncRNA from 1 species